GUUACCUUUGACGUGACAUCACAAUGAAGAUGUCACAUAUAGUAGAAAUGAGAGUCAUCAGGAUAUAUACUUGGUAUUGGAAGUCCUGGGAUGAUAUCACUGAGAGAGGGAGUAUAGACAGAGAAGAGAGCAAGGACUGGACCUGGGCUCUGCAAAGUGUACAGGUUGGGAGGACCAGAAAGCCCCAGAAAAGAAGACUGAGAAGGAACAGAGAGGGUGGGAGGGAAGCAAGGGGUGAGGCGUCCUAUAAUCAGAUGAGGAAAACAUUUCAGGGCUCUAUCAUAACCUGUUCACCGUGGCAGUGUUUCACCAGGACAAUGACUGCGAGCAGGAUUUGGUGGGGAGAGGAGGGAAGAAGUGUGAUGUCAGCCCUGAACCCUGAGCCGGGGCCAUUCCUCAUGAGCAGUGUGUGUGUGAAGCUCUAUGGCUGUCAGCGGGCUGCCUACACAUCUCCCCAUUAAAGACGACCAGCUCUAACCUGCCCUUCCAAAGAGCUUGCUGAUGGGAACAACGGUGGGCUUCCUGAGCGGUUCAUUCCCCCAUACUCAGAGGGUCGCCUAGACACUCCAAUCUUCUUCCUUCAAUCGUGACACCAUCUGAGGCUGACUCUGAGAGGUGACAAGCUCUGGGAGCCCCAGCCCUGCCCUCUGUUCUUGCAGACACCCAGAAUGGGGGCCACAGCCUGUGAAAUGAGCUAGUCCUCAGUCCCAUGAGCAUGUGCCUGAAUGCAGGGACACAGUGCUGUGGUGGUCACCCCAAAGGUCUGCUCCCUGUGGUUGUAGAGUGUCCAGACGAUGUGUUUUUGGUUAGAGGACGGCACCCAGGCCCCUGUGGACACUUCCGCUAGCCCGCCCUCAAAUCCUCUUGGCUUCUGUCUGACACUAGCAGAGUCACUAAGGAAUGGGAUAACCAAGGUGAGGCUCUGCCUCCAGAAGCUUCAAGUAGGGGGGUCAGCCUGCCCAAAGGCCUGGCUCAGGGGUACAUGCUUGGGGUACAAGGUACAGGAUGGGGUGUUUCACUGUGGG
rnacentral:lncRNA from 1 species